CACUGCUGAGAUCAGGAGCAACUCCUGCGUCUGCAGAGACGCUAGGAUGGAUGAGUUAUUUCACGGGGCGAACACCAGCCCCUGACUCUCCCAAAGUCUCCUGUUUCAUCUCUGCAGAGACCCUCCGGCUGCAGAGAGUGCAGUGACUCGGCUGCAGCUCACGCUACAGAAGAAGAACAUCUGGACGACGGCCGAAUUUCUCCUCUCUUCCUCGGCGAGUUUGGACUUCGUGGGACACCCCAGGAACUUCGCGAAACUGACGUGCUAUGCAUCGGAGACGCGGUCAACCCGUCAAUAAGAACUUCAGGUCUCCUGAAUGGAGAAAAUCAUCUAUUUUGACGCAGAAAAUCAUAUACGUUGGCAGAGUAAAUCAUCCACGUUGGCAGAUAAAGUUAGAGCGGCUGCUCUGAAAAUGAGCAUUGAAACUGCAUAGAAACUUCUGCCCCACCUAGCUCAGCAGUCCAGGACCAGAAGCAAGUCACCAAUGUGAGAGAGACUGAGUGAUCCAGAUCGGGAUGCGUAAAAGGAAGAGCAAAAGGAAGAGGAAGAAGAAGCGGAAGAGGAAGCGGAAAAGGAAACCCAACUGGAAGAACAUUCUUCGAAGAUGGUUACAAAGGUCGGUCAAACAUUCUGCAGUAACAGCCCCUCGUUUGCGUUAAUCAAUGCCUAGUGUAUAGCCUUAGCUCAUCUGGGGUCUUGAGAAGAUCAAAAGGAGGACAAGAAAUAUAAGGAGGAUUUGGGGAAGCAUCCUUACGAUCCUACAAAAACUUAGCAAGUGAUUUCUACACUGACAAGUUGAGGGAUGAUUUCUGUAACCCCUCAGGAGAAUAUGUCCUGGAAUAGGGUCAUCAAACCUCAGAGUUAGAGAGCUGUUCUGUAGUUCUUACAAAACUAUCCAGUCCGACCCCCUCAUUUAACAGAUGGAGAAUCCAUCUGGGGAAGUACUUGCCCAAAAUCACAAAAGAGGCAAAGAUGGGAUUUGAACUCAGUCUUCUGACUUCAAGUCCAAGGUUCUUUUGAAGGGACCUUAGAGAUACUAUGGUCCUAAUCUGUAAAUUUGCAGCUGGUAAAACUGAGGCCUUGAGGGCAAACUGGCCUGAGCUCCUGGUCUACUACUAAUUAGCUAUAAUGCAGAAGAAGUAAGCAUCCCAGCAUGCUUGCAAAUAAUACAUGUACCUGGGCCCAAAGCAUUUGAUUUUCUGGCAUUUCUAAAGAGGAAAUAAUAGACAGAGAUAGACCAUUUUGUUCAAACUGUGUAAGCAGCUUUGGUGUAACUGCUACUCUGGGCUCAGGCAGUGAAAAUAAUCAGAACCAUGGAGCAAUGUGGUCUCCCUGGGGAGCCACACCCUAUUUUUUGGCCCAAGACCAUUUUCCUCAAUGGAGCAUUGGCUCCUGGGAAACCAUUGUACUUAAUGGGGCAUUGGCUCCUAUAAACGAUUGUGCUUAAUGGGGCAUUGGCUCCUAGAAACCAUUGUGCCUAACGGAGCAUUGGCUCCGAGUGGCUCCAGGUACGCUCCUGGAGGGGCUCUGGAGCCACAGACACUGUAGGCUGAACUCCCUCUUAAGAUGGCUGAGUGAAGCCUGUUAAAGAGUCGGUUGCUCAGGGAGAGGGAGGGAUUAUGCCAGAGCUGUCACUAGACUACUGAUUUCAUUCAUUAUGUCACUUCCCUGUUCAAAGACUUUCCAGUGGUUCCCUGUUCCUAAUAGGAUCAAAUCCAGAUUCAUUAGGCUGGUGGCCACAUUCCAGUCCCAUACUACCUUUUCCAACCCUAUCUCCCAUCCUUCAAAUGAUUCAACACUACAAGGAUCUGUAAUUUCACUGGUGUGGGAACUCCUUUCACUGAUACAGGUUAUAACCCCUUCUGUGGCUUAGCUGAUGUUCUUUGAGAGGCACUGUUUCCAAAAACUUUCAUCACCAUGAGGCCGACCUGGCCCUAAGUCUUUAUGAACUUAGCUUGGCUGGUCCUCAUACAACAGUCCAUCCUUGGCCCAUCCUUGGAGACCUGGCAAGGGAGCUUGUCCUCCUACCCCCCUGGGGCACAGACUUCAAGGAUUCCCAGUCACCUUCUCCACACCACAAUGAGACCUCUGAAGAGGGUCACUUGAGCUGAGCUUUACAGAGGAGAUGAGACUUGAACCCUGUCAUCUUUCAAAGGCUUAGCUCAAGCCCUACAUCUUCCAUGAAGCCUUCCCUGACCCACACAGUCUCAGGGGACCUCUCCCUCUUCUGAACUCAAACAGCACUUGUCUGUACUGUAUUGUUUGAUUGGCACUCACAUCAUAUACUGUCCAGUGAGUGUUCUCUUAUUGUCUUGUAUUGUUACUCAGCUUAACCUAUGUGUGAGCCUGGGUUCCCUUGCCGAAUGGUGAGCUCAAGCUUGUGUUGAGGGCCGGGAAUGUGCUUUAUAUGUCUUUGUAGCUCCCAGGGUGAAUGUAGUCUAGCACUGGGCUAGGCACAUAGUUCCCUUGGGUUGGUACUUAUUGUUACUUUUUUUUAGGCUGGGUUAUUAUUUCUUUGAUUAAGAUCCUAAAAGUAAAAUGCUUUCUUCUGGACCUUAGAGAAGCUUAUAAAUAUCUCAGCCUUUGGAAUUUUCAACAUUACUGAAUUGUAUUCCCCUUUGGGAUUGAGUCCUUCCUUGGUAGCAAGAGACGCAUGUACAAUGGAGGGAAAAUGGCAAUGGGAAAACUGUGCCAAGUGAAUGUGUGCCAUUGGGUGGAAGUCACAGGGAGAAAAAUUGUAGCCUAGUACAAGGAACAGUCAGAGGUGUCCUGCAAUGGAUCAGUAGGCCUCAGAAGGGAGUGUGAGCUUCCUGAUGCUGGAAGUGCUCAAACAGAGGCUCAGAGAAGCUCCCCCUCCACCCACUCUCCCCACAGCAAUAUCACAGAGUGGGAGGAUGGUCUAGACUACUUAAAAAAGCCUUCCUGUUUCUGAGUCUUUGUAACACUUCUGGAAUAUUGUGGGUAUUCCCAACAAAUGUUGUGACCCCUCUACAAACUUAGAAGUGGGUCUUUAGAGAGUUGCUGUGGGGAAUUUUGUAAGAUACUCCUCCACCAACAGACCUAUGGCACUGCACAGGAGCCUGUCCUGAGAGUCUCAGAUUUUAUAAUAAGGGGCACAUUACAGAGUGUCCUGUGAUUAUGUCACAGCAUUUAGGAGCUGUGAGGGGCAGAGCUGGGCCAUCAUGAAAAGGAAAGUCCAUGGGCCAAGGGGUUUGCUUAAACUCUAGCAUAAGGGAAGGGGAUCACAUUGUAGGGGGACAAAAAAAGUCUAUCCAACAGCACCAAGUUUGCUGCUGCUGUCUGACAGCUGACAGCUGGAGAUCUCCCUUUCUUCCCCUUCCCUCCUCCUCUUUGCUCACUCUUCCCUGGUUGAGCUCCUUUUUGGAAGGACUUUCCAAUUUGUUCAGAGGCUGUGCUUGAAAAGGCACUGGCUAGAAUGUGGCCCAAGGUACCCGUAACCAAGCCUCUGCAAUUAGAGACUUGAUUCUUGCCCCUCUUUGGGAAUAUUGUGACACCGGCAUGUGUGACUUUCCAGGUGGCUGAAAAGGCAGCAAGAUUUCUUGGGCCAGGGGUAUGAGUAACGAAGAAGAGGGAGGAGCAGGAAACUCUCCUACCUAGAAAGGGGGCCUUCCCCUGGCCCUGAAAGGCAAUUUGACAGUGACAAUAAGAACAGAACCCAUUAUGGAAGAGUUCAUGAUUUCAAAAAUUGAGAGUCAAACCGUGCCUCCUGACACCAGCGAUUGGCAGAAAUGUGGUAGACUAUGAUUAGUAUAGAACUUAAAUAUUCACUUGGUGCCCUCCCCCUUUGUACGCUGGUUCUAGCCUAUCCUUCCUUUACAACACCAGCAUUAUAUAGAGGUUUUGUUGUAGAUACCAAACAGUAUUGCAACUUGUAUUCAUAGAGUUUCAUCCGGGGAAUGCGUCAAGUUCACACCUACCACUUGAGGGAUAGUCACAACACCUAUUUCAAGGUAGCAGAAGCAGGAACAGUCAAUCUUGUUCUGUUUCAGCAUUAAACAAUUCCUCGUAGGAAAGAAAAAUAAACAGUAGCAGUAAUUUGGUGACUCAUAGAGGGAAUGCAACAUGCGGUACCCAUAGGUGCUCACCUCUCAGCCAAGAGAGGAAGGCAUAUUUCAUUAGCUGGUCUUUGGAACCAAGAAAAGUCAUUCUAACUGUGCAGAGUUUGGGUUCCUUUUUUUCAUUCUUUUCAUUUAUUGUAUAUACAUAUAUAUGCAUAUAUAUUCUUCUCUUGAAUAGGCUUACUUGAUUGCAUCCGUUUAUAUAGGUCUGCCCAUAUUUCUCUGAAUUCCUCACACUUGUCCUUUCACACGACAUAAUAACACUACAUUACAUGGACACUGGAAAACAGUCAUUCCCUGAAUGAAGGACACCUGGUUUAUUUUCCAUUCUUUGCUAAAAUACACACACACACACACACACACACACACAUAUACACACACAUAGCACCUAUAUCAAGUUUAGUUGAAACAGGUAUGAUCAGAACCAUUGCAGUUCCACACUAAAUCUGCCUUGUGGUAGGGGAAAACAGUCAGGCAUUAGCAACUCCAAGGUCACCCUGGCUGACAGUGUAGGCAACAGUGUGCAGCCACAGACUCAAACCUCUCAUCCCAAGAAGGGGAAGUAUAAUGCAUUAUCUGAUUUCUACAGUCGACACAGGUCAUUACAAUUAGCCAGAGUUCAGCUUCUUUUUAGUGUUUGUUUGUUUUUCCAGUUAGAUUAUUGUAGUCAUUGUAUAUAUUCUGCUCCUGAUUGAACUUUCUUCACUCAUAAGAUCAAAGAAGUCUUUAAAUGUUUCUUGAUUUCUUAAUAUUACUCCUUUAUUCCUGUACAAUAAUAUGUUACGUUCGUACGUGAGGACAUGAUUUACUCACCCAUUCCUCUAGGGGAAGGCACCCGGGUUGUUUCCAAUUCUUUACUACAAAGUAUAAUUGACUGCACCUAUAAAAAGGUAGAAAGAGCAGGUAUGGUCGUCCCCACUGGAAAUCCACCUUGAACAUGCCUUGUAGCAAAGAAAAACUGAAGCAACAACAACCCAAAGGGUGACCCUGUCAGGCAACGAAUGUAAAAAGAGUGAAACUGUAGAGCCCAAACUCUAAGACCAAAAGAGAAAGUCAUGGUUCAGUAUCUACUGUUGGGGAAAAAAAUGGUCUUGAAAAUUAUUCAGAGUUUAGUUUCUUUUUACUUUUAUAUUACUGUAAAUGGUGAAUAUAUUUUUAUUUUAGACAGAUUUUCUUUACAUAAAUUUAUUAAGCAUCUUCUAGGGAUUCUCAAAAUUCCUGGCCUUUUCAUAUUCUUCUUAUAAAAUUGUAUUGAGUUAUAGUCAUAAAGAAAGGCUUCCUCAAAAUGUUCUCUUCCUUUACGUACUUACCGUAUUCACUGAACUGACAACAGUUGUGGAAAAAAGUGAACAAAAAUCCAUCUACGUCUUAACACGUAGGGAGGAAGGUGUCAUAUUUUCUCAUUCAUUCUUUGUAAAUACACAGACAAGGGAUUCUUCUUCAUUCUCUUUUUCUUUUCAAGACUGCAGCCAGUAUAUGGUCACAAAUCUGUCAGUCAUGUCUCAUCUGAAAGGCUUACUGGUUUAUUUCCACUUCUGUGAUUGAGUGUACAUUAACAAAACCUCCCGCAGGAGGAGCAUGGCUGGCUACUGCCAUGUAAGUACCACCAUGACCCUGCCCGUUAGUAAAACGAAUAAAAGAUGUAAAAAAAGAUCACAGCUGAAUGGAAUCCAUAUGAGUAAAAAGGUGCCAAAAUUUAAAAUGGCAGAGCCCCAGUUGACCUUCCAGAGGAGGGAUCCUGGUUGCCUUUUAUCUAUUCUAUCACAUAGAAAGUGGUGGGUCACUCUAUUGGUAACUAGAGGUCAUUAUAAUUACUCCGAUAGCAUUUUGCUUUUUCCUCUCUUUAUCCACUGGCAAAAUCGACCACGGUAGAGACAAUAAAAAUUGACCAUCUGGAAUUGUUCAGUUGUAGGGCCUUCAGUUCCAUUCCACAUUGUGGCUAGCUAUUAUAUCAAUUCUGACAUUAAAAAGUAAAAUGAGCACGGUGGUUUACACUUAUGUGACACCUUGAACAUGAAUAGAAGAAGGAAAAAAAUAAUAACUCAGCAAAAAGUGACCACGUAUGAAAGAGAAGGCAUUAUUUGGUUUCAUAUUGCCAUAGCUCUCUGGACAUAGAAGGAAAAUGAUUCCUAAUUUACUCACACACAACCAUAUUAGUAACUAUAAACAAUGAAAUCCAGCAACUCUCUGAUCUUAUUUAUCAAACAAAAAAAAAUAUAGAAAGUCACUAGAUAGCAGUUGUCACCUUGAUACUGAGGGCAUUCUAUUAAGUCUAGCUCAAGGAAAAAGGAAAAGAGAGGUCUGAACUCUCAUAUGGUAUUCCUUGAAUUAGUUCUCUAGCAAAGAAAAUUCAUUUCAAAAAUAACAAGGGAAAAAGUAAUCCUGUCUUAUGGGGUAAACUUUAUUGAACCUAAGUUCCCCACAAAUCAAACAAGAACCAGGCAGCAAAUAUUUUAAACACUUUCCUCAUUGCUGCAUUGCUAACUCUAAUAUGUCAUUUAAAGACUUCUCUUAAAACUCUCCUACCUCUAUCACACAGUUGUCAGUGCAGAGAUGAAGGUUCCUCAGUCAUUCUACCUCAGAACAUUCAACCAAUUUGUUUCCAUUUCUUCAUGUAAAGUGCUUCCCUUCCAUAGGAAUAAAAGGGGAAAACACAAGGGGGAGGUGCCACAUUGCACCUGGAGUCGCCACCAAGCAGGGGCAGCAGGUACUCUAACCAUCUGGCUCUCUGCCCUACUGCCCACUCCAAAUCAAGGACAGCCUUGUUCCUUCUGCUCUUUUGCUAGCAUCGCAUAAUCCUGAGUAGAGAAAAAGGUUUCUCAGCCAUUCUACACCCAUAGGGCCCCUGAUUUGUAUCCACUUCUCUGUUACAUGUGGCUUCUGGUCCAUUGGCAUUGAGGGGGAGUCCACAUGGCCACCAUGGCUUAUCCACCUCGAGCCAGCCCUGUAGCAAAGAAAAUUCACUUGCCCAACAGCCAGCCAAAAGGGAACUUUGUCUGAUAGGGUAAACGCACUCAUGUACCUGUAGCCCCCCACCUUGCAGCACAGAGGUGGGUGCAUGCUUCAUAAUCACCUUUCUUGUAUCCUUACAAGUCCUUCCAGUGAUUCAUGCAGAGGCUUGCUUUCUCUCUUCUUUGACCUCCAACACAAAAUCCUUGGCCUCCUUACAAAGGUUUCUCAGCCAUUCUCCAUCUGCAGGGACCCUGGUAUCUUCCUAUUUCUUUGUCACACAGGGCCUGUGUUCCACCUGGAUCAAGGCAAAUCCACAUGAGUGUCUGCCCUCAUGUAUGGUGCUCCUUAACCUAGCUGUGUACCAAAGAAAACUCACUUUCUGAACAGCUAGACAAAAGGGAACCCUCUCUGUCAGGGUAGGUACCACACUGCAUCCUCAUUCCCCACCUUGCAGCCCAGAGGUGGUGGUUGGUUUUCUUCUCACCAUUCUCUCAUCCUUAGUGCUCACUCAAUCUUAGGCCAAAACAUCAGUUUUAUCUUUCUCAUUUUGUUCCUCUAUAUGAAAAAUUCACAGACACACAUUAAAACACA